GACGUAGGGGGCGAGCGUUGUCCGGAUUUAUUGGGCGUAAAGGGCGCGUAGGCGGCUUGGCAAGUGGAUGGUGAAAUCCCUCGGCUUAACCGAGGAACUGCCGUCCAAACUGCUUCGCUUGAGACCGGGAGAGGUGAGUGGAAUUCCCAGUGUAGCGGUGAAAUGCGUAGAUAUUGGGAGGAACACCAGUGGCGAAGGCGGCUCACUGGACCGGUACUGACGCUGAUGCGCGAAAGCGUGGGGAGCAAACGGG
rnacentral:rRNA from 1 species